GUAGGGAAUAUUGGGCAAUGGGUGCAAGCCUGACCCAGCCAUCCCGCGUGCCGGAUGAAGGCCCUCUGGGUCGUAAACGGCUUUUGACGGUGAAGAAUCGACAGGAUGCGUCCUGUUUUGACGGUAGCCGUUGAAUAAGCACCGGCUAACUCCGUGCCAGCAGCCGCGGUAAUACGGAGGGUGCGAGCGUUGUCCGGAUUUAUUGGGUUUAAAGGGUGCGUAGGCUGGAAGGUCAGUCAGCGGUGAAAAGCUGUCGCUUAACGAUAGUCUUGCCGCAGAUACUUCCUUUCUUGGAUGAGGAGGAGGCCACUGGAACGGAUGGUGUAGCGGUGAAAUGCAUAGAUAUCAUCCAGAACACCGAUUGCGAAGGCAGGUGGCUGUACCUUAAUCGACGCUGAUGCACGAAAGCAUGGGGAGCAAACAGGAUUAGAUACCCGAGUAGUCC
rnacentral:rRNA from 1 species